AAAAAGAGGGGAAAAGAAAGGUAUGAGAUCCAAGAGCACAGGUGUUCACAGCUGUUGCUUUAUUCUUAGAAGUACAGUACAUACAAAACUCAUUUUCUAAUCUUAAAAUUCAGUUUCAUUUAGCUAAAAUUUCUCUACAGCAUGAGGCUUAACGCCAUUAAGGAAUGGUUAAUUAUCUAAGAAAGGUAACUACCCUUCACAAACUAAACUUCACAAAAUCCACUAUUUCUGUGCCCCAACCACUCUAAAGCAUCUCCUGCACAAAAGGUUACAUUAUGAAAAUUAACUAUGUCUGGACACCAUUCCAGGUAUUUGAUCUAAACAACAGGAUAUCCCAGAUCUAGGGUGCUGGGCUGUUUCAGUGAAGAAAGAAAUAACAAAUGCCUGAAGAAGUACUAACUUGUUAAGACUAACAAGAAUUUAGUUGACAAAGAAGAUGCGCUUGGAGGAAAAACAAGAACAAAAGUGAAGUCCUAAGGGUAGAUGCAAACUUUAAGUAGCAUAAUCUUGCAUAUUUUUAUCUUUACUUUUUCAGUUCAGUUAUUAGUCUUCUGUGUCGGGCCUAAUCUAUCUCCAUAUAUGGAAUUCUCCUUAGCGUCAUUCCUCUCACACUGUCCAUGCCUGUUUUGUCCCAUCAAGGAUGGUAGCACAGCCUAAUACCACGCUUAUCAGAAGAAUGGGAAUGGCAAUUUAUCAUGCAAUGUUUAAGACAUUUGAUGAAGGCAUUCAUAAAAGAACAACUUGCUAAGGAAAUAUCUUUCCCUAGUUCACCCUUUUGCAUUUAUUUAAUUUAAAUUGCUUGUGCAAGAGACCUAAGGAUGAACUAUUUAUGUUCCUAAUGCUACACAAACUAAUCUGACUAUGUUUGAAAUACAUUACUUUCAGGAAAAUAUAAAUAAAUUCUAUCUUUUUCUAACAGAAUUUACUUCAGUUCUAUCUUUGAGCAUUAAAAUUAGAAUAAGAUGUAGAACUGUUGACUGUAACAUGACCGUUACAGAGAUUGUGUAUAAAAUGAUAAAAUAAAACUGAUAUAUUACACUUAAACAGCCUCCAAAGGCAUAAUCCUGAAUAGAAUGAAGAGGAAAAAUAGCUACAAGCAGCUAUCUGCCGGCAUUCUUCCAGCAGAAAGAAAUCUAGGAGGUAAAAUUUCUGAUGACUACACUCUCACUGCCAUCUAGUGGACAAAAGCAAAGAUUUCCAAAAUCAAGACAUUUCAUUCUUCUACCAAGAACAAUCACUGGUAUGUUGUGCACCUCCUAAAAGCUUUGUUUCUCCUCAUCAGCUAGUAAAACAUUACACAGAAGCAUCCUGACAUUUAAUCUACCUUGAAAAACAUUUCAAUAUAUAACUUACAUUUUUAAAUACUUUGAUUUUUAAAAUAAUUUUAUUUAUUCUUCUGGUUCUGUAAGUUCUACAGGACUCACCCUCUUUCCCCCUUGUUUUUAGGAAGAGGGUCUCUCAUCACUUAUGAGGUCACCUAUGAUCUCAGAAUCAAGAGCAAUUUCUGCUUGCAAAAUAAAGGGGAAAACAAGAUGUACUGGUUCCACGGAGUUAUAAACAUGCCAUCCUAAAAUUUACUGAGUUCUACAAAGCUGCAACUGCACAAAAGCAACACAACCAUCUGACCAAGGCUAUUGGAGAACAGUCUGAAACAAGACCUCAGAGAUACACAUGUAGCAUUGAGAUGGCUAGGUGGUUAUGUGAAUUCUGUAUUUUGGAUAAUUAAACAGCAAUAUUGUUCAUUCAUUACACUGCUAGCCAUUGAAGGAAAAAGAUCUGCUUUGAUAAAAAAGUGAUUUCUUGACAACUGCUAAUUAUUUGACUACUGAACCCAGGAUCUAUACAAACAUUUUGAAAAGGAGAAAAACUGUCACUUUCCUCUGUGGAAAGAACAAAGCCUCUCUUUCAAACUACUAUAUCCUUCAACAACUUUGAAUUCUAAGUCUGGACCAUUUCUUAUAUAUUCCUUUAUUUCAACAUUUUUAAUUCUUUACAGCUCUAACCAGAAGUUCUGUGAAUAAUCCUUUCCACCCUGACACUAACUUAAGAAUUCUACUAUCUUAUACUUGCAUAUUCUGUGGACUGGCCAAGAUACAGCAUCAACAGUUCAGAAUGGGAGUCAUAGCAGAUGUUAGGGUUGAGCUGUUUUAUACUUAGUUUUUGCUUUGUUUUUAAAGAGAAGGGUGGGGGGGAUGGAACAACAGUAGGGUGGUUCUCAAAAAUAAUCAAAACCUAAUCAUUCUAGUUUUAAGAUCUCAAGUUUACCAAUACCAAUAGGUAAGUCCAAAGAGAAUGCAGAGUAGUGUUAACUGCAGUGUUCUUACAAGCUCUUGCAACAUGCUUAGUACUACAGGUAUAAUUUCUGCAAAACUGUCCCAGCUUUUUUUCAUACAUUCCCCUAUUUUUUUAUUAAAAUUAAUAUAGCAUGGUUUUUUGGAAGCAGUUCCUUCAUAUAUUUGUGAAGCAAACAUCCAUCUUCAAACUGUUUACAUGGUAUGGACUUCCUCUACAGACAAGCCACACACACACACACACAAGUAUAUUGUCCUUUUUGUUUGAACAGCUGUUUUCUCACAAAAUCUGUCAUAUCUGUACUCUAAACAUAUUAAAGCCUCCAAAAUAACACUUGAAGAAUAAACUAGAAUAACUGGAACUCAGUUACAAUUUUAUUUCCACUCCAUUCUGCUCCUAACUAAACUCUGUAACCUUUUGAAAAAUGUGUCAUUCCAACAGCAGUAAAACAAAAGUAAAAUACAUAAACAUAAUCAUCAUUUAUAUGCUUGUUAGUGUACAUCAAGUACUGAUCUUACUGCAGGUCAGAAGCUGUUCAGAAGGAAAAUGAACAACAAAAGAAUUGCCAAAAAUAUACUAAUGAGAUUCAAAUAAUCUUCCCAAGCUCAAUUAGCGAUUUUAUUAGUGAGAGUAAGCACAUAUUUGUCUUGUUUAAUUUAUCUACAAUGAGGUAGCUUUCACAUUCAAUAAAAUCUUAUUUGCAUUGUAAGGAUGUUGAACUUUAGUUCUACAAUCAACAAUUAAAUUAGAAAAGAUAUUAAAAAUAAUGACAGUAAACCAACAAGAAGUCAGCUUGGUGAAGAUUAAAAUAGCUAGGUAGGAUGGCAUCAUCUCAAAAGUACAUCCAAAAUGAAAGUGAAUUAGAAUCACAGAACCGACAAGAUUGGAAAACACCUCCAAGAUCAUCCAGUCCAGCUGUCUACCUGCCACCAAUAUUUCCCACUAAACUCUGUCCCUUAGUACAAUAUCUAAAUGCUUCCUGAACACCUCCAGGAAUGGUAACUCAAGCACCUUCUGGGCAGUGCAUUCCAGCUUCUGAUCACUCUUUCAGAGAAAAAGAAUUCCUAACAUCCAACCUGAACUUCCCUUUGCAUAACUUGAGCCCGUUUCCUCUAGUUCUAUUGCUAACUGCCUACCAGCUCCUCAAAACUAUCUUACCCCAAUACUGUACUCCAAACUGUUUCCCCAGUCAUUACUUAAGCAAAUGCGCCUGAAAUAACAGCUCAGAAGACAGUGAAAAUAACACUGUUGCAUCCAAGAACGUCAGAGGUCUGGGAGAAAAUAAACUCAUAAAACUGAUAAUGCAGAUACAGUUUCCCAAAUUAGGCAUGCAGAACCCAAAGUAAGCUUAAGUACCUAACAUUCUCAAUAUCCAGCCAGCUGUCAAACAUAUUGAUGUAAUCAACAUUCAACCUUAAUUUUGAAAAUCUCAGUCCAAGUAACAAAUACAUAACACCACUAUAUAUAUAUAUACAUACAUAUAUAUAUAUACAUUAAUAUUCUUAAACAUAAAAGCUGGGCACCUGUUUCCUGGAGUAUAAUUGUAACAAAGCCAUUAACAACAGAAGCACAAGUCACAAGAAGUUUCAGAAUAGCUUUUAUUUAAACUUGUAUCUCUGUUUCCAACAGAUGUAACAGGACUGACUGCCUGAAGAACACAAUAAACCUCUUCAAAUUUAAGAUUAAACCUUACACAAAAGUAAUGCUUAAAAAAAAAAAAAAAAAAAA